GCCUAGCUAGCUUCGUUGGUAGCGCGUCUGCCUUGUAAGCGCUAGGCCGCGGGUUCGAUUCCCGCCCGGGGCG
rfam:Asian citrus Psyllid, Diaphorina citri - Florida Strain, whole genome shotgun sequence.